GACGAACGCUGGCGGCGUGCUUAACACAUGCAAGUCGAGCGGUAAGGCCCUUUCGGGGGUACGACGAGCGGCGAACGGGUGAGUAACACGUGGGUGACCUGCCCUCAGCUCUGGGAUAAGCCUGGGAAACCGGGUCUAAUACUGGAUAUGGCUCCAUGACGCAUGUUGUGGGGUGGAAAGCCUUGUGCGGCUGAGGAUGGGCCCGCGGCCUAUCAGCUUGUUGGUGGGGUGAUGGCCUACCAAGGCGACGACGGGUAGCCGGCCUGAGAGGGCGACCGGCCACACUGGGACUGAGACACGGCCCAGACUCCUACGGGAGGCAGCAGUGGGGAAUCUUGCGCAAUGGGCGAAAGCCUGACGCAGCGACGCCGCGUGAGGGAUGAC
rnacentral:rRNA from 1 species